GCUUUUGCAGGUUACAUGGUCAUCCUUGAAGAUAGCCUACAGAUACAGGCAGAUCUAGACAGGCUAGCAAGCUGGGCGAGUCAGAACCAGAUGAAGUUCAACAUCGAGAAAUGUAAAGUGCUCCACCUGGGGUGAACAAUCACCUGCACAACUACAGGCUUGGCAAUGCCAGCCAGACCAGCACUACGAAUGAAAGAGACCUGGGAGUAAUAAUAGAUCACAGUAUGAAUAUGAGCCAUCAAUGCGACUCUUGCUGCCAAUAAUACUCUGAAAUGCAUCAAUUGAUGCAUCUCCAACAAGACCAAGGAGGUGAUUCUUCCUCUCUACUCAGCACUUUGGGAAAACCAGGAGUAAUGGCCACAAACUUCUGGAAGACCAUUUGAGGCUCAACAUUAGGAAGCAACUUCUUCACAGUUAGAGUGUCCAGACUGUGGAAUAAGCUCCCUCCAUAGGUGGUGCAAUCACCUACCCUGGACAUCUUCAAGAGGACAAUCAUCUUCCUGGGGUCACCUGACCCCACAUGUCAUUUGUCCUGCCUGGCACAGGGGGCUGGACCUGAUGAUCUUCUGAUGUCCCUUCCAGCCUUACAAUCCAUGAAUAAGAGCACUGGAGACCUUCACUUACCCUCUGCAGGGGCGGGGACAAUUCUGGUGCCCCUUCUAACAUGGUACCUGGAGCCAGUGCCCCCCUCACCCACUUCUUGUCUUCUAAAUCAAUAGGUAAAUUAAGCAUAUGUUUAUGUGGUUGCCAGAACAGAAAGAGAUUGAAGCACAUAUUUUAGCAUUUUCCUGGGAUCAGGUUCUACAUUAAUAUUCAAACAGCAAGAAGAGACAACAGCACAGGCAGACUGGGUAAAUUCAGGAACUGAUGAAGAACACAGUAUUAUAAUGAGGUCACUAGGAUAGCUAACAAGUGCAUUUGACAGGGCAGUGCAGCCCUGAAUCCUUUCUGCAGGGCUCCAGUAAUGCUACUGAAGAGCAGAAAGAGAAACCUCUUUCUGAAAAGAGGCUGUAUUUUCUGUUCAGUGUACCACCACCAUCAAAGUCUUGUCAUCAAGGCCUACAGGGCUUCUGAGCUGCUUACACAUCUGACUGCAGAUCCUUGGGAAUUUAAGUCCCCCUAAGUAUACAUUGGUAUAGCAGAAGGAGGUUAUGUUAUCUGUCCUUCAUGCUGUAGAUCCACAGAUAACAGAAGCUUUUGCUCAAGUUUCCCUUCAAGACCUAUUUGCAUGAGGUAAU
rnacentral:lncRNA from 1 species